CUGAGCAAAACUGUUGAAGGCUGUUCUAGUUACUCUAGCCCAGAGUUUGUGGUUCUUUGUCUUGUAGAGAUAAUUGAUCUUUUUACAGCCACAUGUCCAUUCACAAUAGGUUGUUUUCUUCCUUUUAGAUAGUGAAAGAAGUUUAUUAGCUGUUGGUUUAAGUCUCUUACAAAAAUGUUGCUCAUGGCAUAAUUAUUAAGGAGGUUACAUCAGUGUGAGCAGAGGAGCAGGCCAAGAUAA